UACGUAGGGUGCGAGCGUUAAUCGGAAUUACUGGGCGUAAAGCGUGCGCAGGCGGUUCGUUAAGUCAGAUGUGAAAGCCCCGGGCUCAACCUGGGAACUGCAUUUGAAACUGGCGGGCUUGAGUGUGGCAGAGGGGGGUGGAAUUCCGCGUGUAGCAGUGAAAUGCGUAGAGAUGUGGAGGAACACCGAUGGCGAAGGCAGCCCCCUGGGUCAAAACUGACGCUCAUGCACGAAAGCGUGGGGAGCAAACAGG
rnacentral:rRNA from 1 species